rnacentral:misc_RNA from 1 species
AACAUCUCAAAUCUCUCAACGCUUGCGUUGUGAGGAUUGGAUUUGAGCGAUCCCGACUCCUUCGUCAGAAAGAGGAGGGUCGCUUGAAAUGCAGAUGCAGCAGGACAUUCUUCUGAGCUAAAAGCAUAUUUAUUUAGUCCCGUCAAACGGAUUAUUACUUUUGCUUCAGCUAACAUAAAGGUCGAAUGAGCCAUUAUCGCUGAUUGCAGGAAAACACGUCCGUAACAGGACUUGUAA